rnacentral:rRNA from 1 species
AUUAACGCUAGCGGGAUGCAUAACACAUGCAAGUCGAGCGUUCCCGUUUAAUCACGGGGAGCGGCGAACGGGUGAUUAACACGUUGGUACCUGCCCCGAAGUGAGGCAUAGCUCACCGAAAGGUGAAUUAAUACCGCAUAGUCUCAAUAUGCAAAUAUUGAGUAAAGCUUUACGGCGCUUCGGGAGGGGCCUGCGGCCUAUCAGCUAGUUGGUAAGGUAGCGGCUUACCAAGGCUUUGACGGGUAGCUGGUGUGAGAGCACGACCAGCCACAAUGGGACUGAGACACGGCCCAUACUCCUACGGGAGGCAGCAGUGAGGAAUUUUCCGCAAUGCCCGAAAGGGUGACGGAGCAAUCCCGCGUGAGGGAUGAAGGCUUAUUAGUCGUAAACCUCUUUUCUGAGGGAACAAAUUUUGAGUGUACUUCAGGAAUAAGCGUCGGCAAACUACGU